UACGGAGGGGGCUAGCGUUGUUCGGAAUUACUGGGCGUAAAGCGCGCGUAGGCGGGCUGUUAAGUCGGGGGUGAAAUCCCGGGGCUCAACCCCGGAACUGCCCCCGAUACUGGCGGUCUUGAGGACGGGAGAGGUGAGUGGAAUGGCGAGUGUAGAGGUGAAAUUCGUAGAUAUUCGCCGGAACACCAGUGGCGAAGGCGGCUCACUGGCCCGUUUCUGACGCUGAGGCGCGAAAGCGUGGGGAGCAAACAGG
rnacentral:misc_RNA from 1 species